GGAUUAUGAGGCGAUGUGAUUGGGCCCAUGCUAAUUGCUGGGCUCAGGAAAGUCCCCGGGCCUCCUCUGCAGAAAUGCAGGCCCUGUAAUGGGUAUCUUUGAGUUGGGAUUUGCGGCUGAGACACGUGUGGAGCCUAUGCAAUUCCAACCUGAGAAUUUGGCCGAUCUUACAGUCAUUCACAUGGUCAGCUUUGACUAACUGAACGGGGCUUACGUCCUCGUAAUC
rnacentral:RNase_MRP_RNA from 1 species